UACGGGAGGCAGCAGUGAGGAAUAUUGGUCAAUGGUCGAGAGACUGAACCAGCCAAGUAGCGUGCAGGAUGACGGCCCUAUGGGUUGUAAACUGCUUUUAUGCGGGGAUAAAGUGCGGCACGUGUGCCGUUUUGUAGGUACCGCAUGAAUAAGGACCGGCUAAUUCCGUGCCAGCAGCCGCGGUAAU
rnacentral:rRNA from 1 species